ensembl:misc_RNA Y_RNA Y RNA
GCUCAGGGGGCGUGCAGUGGAGGUGACAAGGAAUCCAUCACAACUAGCAGAGAUUUCUUUGGUCCUCCUCCACUCCCACUGCUUCACUUGACUAAGCUUAA